AUUGAACGCUGGCGGCAUGCCUUACACAUGCAAGUCGAACGGUAACAGGUCUUCGGAUGCUGACGAGUGGCGAACGGGUGAGUAAUACAUCGGAACGUGCCUAGUAGUGGGGGAUAACUACUCGAAAGAAUGGCUAAUACCGCAUGAGAUCUAAGGAUGAAAGCAGGGGAACGCAAGACCUUGCGCAACUAGAGCGGCCGAUGGCAGAUUAGGUAGUUGGUGGGAUAAAAGCUUACCAAGCUGACGAUCUGUAGCUGGUCUGAGAGGACGAUCAGCCACACUGGGACUGAGACACGGCCCAGACUCCUACGGGAGGCAGCAGUGGGGAAUUUUGGACAAUGGGCGCAAGCCUGAUCCAGCAAUGCCGCGUGCAGGAUGAAGGCCUUCGGGUUGUAAACUGCUUUUGUACGGAACGAAAAGCCCCGGGUUAAUACCCUGGGGUCAUGACGGUACCGUAAGAAUAAGCACCGGCUAACUACGUGCCAGCAGCCGCCGUAA
rnacentral:rRNA from 1 species